UUCGCAAUGCCCGAAAGGGUGACGAAGCGACGCCGCGUGUGGGAAGAAGGCCUUCGGGUUGUAAACCACUGUCGGGAGUUAAGAAAUGUAAGGGUGUUAAUAGCGCCUUUACUUGACAAAGGCUCCGGAGGAAGCCACGGCUAACUCUGUGCCAGCAGCCGCGGUAAUACAGAGGCGGCAAGCGUUGUUCGGAAUUAUUGGGCGUAAAGAGCACGUAGGCGGCUUUGCAAGUCAGUUGUGAAAGCCUUCCGCUUAACGGAAGAACAGCAGCUGAUACUACAGAGCUUGAGUACGGGAGGGGAGAGUGGAACUUCUGGUGGAGUGGUGAAGUGCGUAGAUAUCAGAAGGAACGCCGGCGGCGAAAGCGAUUCUCUGGUCCGAAACUGACGCUGAGCGUGCGAAAGCUAGGGGAGCAAACGGGAUUAGAUACCCCGGUAGUCCUAGCCGUAAACGAUGGGCACUAAGUAGAGGGGUUUU
rnacentral:rRNA from 1 species